rnacentral:rRNA from 1 species
UACGUAGGGUGCAAGCGUUAAUCGGAAUUACUGGGCGUAAAGCGUGCGCAGGCGGUGAUGUAAGACAGGUGUGAAAUCCCCGGGCUUAACCUGGGAACUGCAUUUGUGACUGCAAGGCUAGAGUUUGGCAGAGGGGGGGUAGAAUUCCACGUGUAGCAGUGAAAUGCGUAGAUAUGUGGAGGAAUACCGAUGGCGAAGGCAGCCCCCUGGGUCAAGACUGACGCUCAUGCACGAAAGCGUGGGGAGCAAACAGG